AUAGCGUAUAUUAAAGUUGUUGCAGUUAAAAAGCUCGUAGUUGAAACUUGGGCCUGGCUGGCCGGUCCGCCUCACCGCGUGCACUGGUCCGGCCGGGUCUUUCCUCCUGGCUAGCCCCAUGCCCUUCACUGGGUGUGUGGGGGAACCAGGACUUUUACUUUGAAAAAAUUAGAGUGUUCAAAGCAGGCAUAUGCCCGAAUACAUUAGCAUGGAAUAAUAAAAUAGGACGUGUGGUUCUAUUUUGUUGGUUUCUAGAGCCGCCGUAAUGAUUAAUAGGGAUAGUCGGGGGCAUCAGUAUUCAAUUGUCAGAGGUGAAAUUCUUGGAUUUAUUGAAGACUAACUACUG
rnacentral:rRNA from 1 species